UUAGUUGAAGCCAAAAUUAGAGGCCUCUUAUUGUUAAUAAGAAAAUUGAUAUUAAUUAUCCAACUAAA
rnacentral:tRNA from 1 species